rnacentral:rRNA from 1 species
GUGCCAGCAGCCGCGGUAAUACAGAGGGUGCAAGCGUUAAUCGGAAUUAUUGGGCGUAAAGCGCAUGUAGGUGGCUUGUUAAGUCUGAUGUGAAAGCCCUGGGCUUAACCUGGGAAUAGCGUUGGAGACUGACGAGCUAGAGUCGGACAGAGGGUCGUGGAAUUUCCGGUGUAGCGGUGAAAUGCGUAGAGAUCGGAAAGAACAUCAGUGGCGAAGGCGUCGAUCUGGGUCCAGACUGACACUGAGGUGCGAAAGCAUGGGGAGCAAACAGGAUUAGAUACCCCGGUAGUCC